AUGACGCACCUCUUGGUUCACCUAGUCGAAGAGAUUUUCAUUAUCGGUCCUGUAUUUCUACACAAUAUGUUCCCCUUCGAGAGGUUCAUGGGAGUAUUAAAGAAAUAUGUUCGUAACCGUGCUAGGCCAGAAGGAAGCAUCGCCAAGGGCUAUGGAAAUGAGGAGGUAAUUGAGUUUUGUGUUGACUUUGUUCCUGACCUUAAGCCGAUUGGUCUUCCUCGAUCGCGGCAUGAGGGGAGACUAAGUGGAAAAGGCACGAUCGGAAGGAAAUCAACGAUAUGUAUGGACGGCCAUUCUCUGACUGAAGCACACCACACUGUACUGACCAAUUCCAGCUUGGUGGCUCCGUACUUUGAGAAACACAAGAAUAUUUUACGCUCGGACAACCCGGGGAAGCCUGAAUCCUGGAUUAGGAAGGCCCACAUGGAGACUUUCGGCAGUUGGUUGAGAAAACAUUUAAUGAAUGACAAUGAUGUUGUAGAUCAGCUGUACAUGUUGGCCAAGACACCAUCUUCGACUAUAACGACUUUCCAAGGGUACGAGAUAAAUGGGAAUACAUUUUACAUGAUCGCCCAAGAUAAAAAGAGCACCAACCAAAACAGUGAUGUCCGCUUUGAUGCAGCAACCAAGAAUGGGCAAAAGGUCACAUAUUAUGGUUACAUAGAGGAGAUAUGGGAACUUGACUAUGGACCCUCCUUUAAGGUCCCUUUGUUCCGGUGCAAAUGGUUCAAGCUAACAGGAGGUGGGGUAAAGGUGGACCAGCAAUACGGAAUGACAAUGGUGGAUUUCAACAAUCUUGGUUACCUUGACGAACCAUUCGUCCUAGUGAAAGAUGUCACUCAGGUUUUCUAUGUGAAGGACAUGAGUAGCAAACCGAGGAAACGGAAAGAUAAGAAAACGAUCAGUACAUCAUGCGAUGAUCCAAAGCGCCACAUUGUUCUUUCAGGGAAAAGAAACAUCGUGGGAGUGGAGGACAAGACAGACAUGUCAGAAGAUUAUAAUAUGUUUGCUGAAAUUCCGCCCUUCAAAGUGAACACCGACCCAAGCAUUAAGUUAAAUGAUGAGGAUGCUUCAUGGAUACGGCACAAUCGUAAGCAAGCAGGGACACAAGGGAAGAAAUGA
rnacentral:rRNA from 1 species